rnacentral:rRNA from 1 species
UACGAAGGGUGCAAGCGUUACUCGGAAUUACUGGGCGUAAAGCGUGCGUAGGUGGUUGUUUAAGUCUGUUGUGAAAGCCCUGGGCUCAACCUGGGAACUGCAGUGGAAACUGGACAACUAGAGUGUGGUAGAGGGUAGCGGAAUUCCCGGUGUAGCAGUGAAAUGCGUAGAGAUCGGGAGGAACAUCCAUGGCGAAGGCAGCUACCUGGACCAACACUGACACUGAGGCACGAAAGCCAGGGGAGCAAACGGG